CCAGACUAUGUUUUUCCACACACAAAGUUACUAUUCUCAAUUUUAUGAAAAUGAGUAUGUCCAGGACAUUAAAUGAAAACAGCUGGAGCAGUAUACUAUGAAUGCAAGACCUUGGCUGGGCUACAGGAUUUUAGGCAACAGGAUCAAGGUGUGGCUGAGGGUUUUUCCAGUUGGAAGCACUGUGAUAAACGGAAAGAAGGCAAACUAAACUGCAAAUUCAGUCUUGCAGAUGUGCUUUGGAAGUCAGAAGAUGGCAGUCUUUACUCACUGUUGAAGUUACUGCAUUGCUUGCCCUCAUGAUGUGAACACUUGCAAAGUUAAUAAAAUGAAUAUGUAUCUU